GCUAGGCUCUCCAGUCGGUCCGGCAGGCUCCCACGGGGGGUUCGGCGGCGGGCGCCGCUUUCCCGGCGACCCCCCUUCAGUGCGCGCCGCGCCGAGGGCAGAUCCGGUGUGAGCCGCCGCUGCCGCCGCCCCCUUGCCUCCUCCUCCCUCACGGGGUCCCUCCCACUGAGGCCCGCCUCGUAUUUCCUGGAUCCGGUCUCAGGGAGAGGUUGGCCAAAGAACUGCCGGCUUCAGGGCUUCCGUCGGACGCCUUCGCUCGCCAGACACAAAGAUGGCACCGCCCGGACCUGCGCCUUUCACUGGGAAGAGUAAUUGACACAACCCAGGACACAAAUGGUGCUUUUUCUCUGCCAGACCUCUCUGCUCAGCUCCUGGUCUCCUUGACUUUUCACUGUUACUGUUAAUCAGUUGUUUUGAAUACCUUCCCAGAGAAGAUUUUAGAGCUUAUUUGUGGAAACAACUAGGUACACCCAACCUUGGCUACAGCUUUGAGACAAACUCUGGGAAUCCCUUCCACUAUUUCAGUUAUGGGCUGGCUUGCUCUGAAGUAGAAAUUGACUGCUUAACAAACAGGGGAUCAUAAGAAUCCCCGUACAGAUAUCGUCAUGGAUGUUGGUUCCAGCUUGAAUCCUGCCAUUGAUAUUGGACAAGUAGAAGGGGCAUUUGUUCAGGACCUUGGUCUCUUCACUAUGGAGGAGCUGCACUACUCCCCUGAAGGGAACCUGCACACUCAUGGCCCCAGUACCUACAAGAUCCCUGCGUUUGGCAGCAUCCCCAUUGAGUUCAGAGUAUCACUACUCCGGGACUGUUGGGAGCCUCCUCUUUUCAUGGCUUCUUCUAUCUACUUUGCCAUCAAAACACCAUUCACACAGCUCGAGCUCAGCACGGAGAUAAUAAUACAAAACAACUUUUCCAGCUAGACAUCCCUACCACUCCGGAAAAGAUUCGAAACACUUGUGUGGACCAGUUCACCACCCCGUGUGUCACUGGAAUACCAGAAAACUAUAAAUCCUGGUCUGUGAGGACCUGAAGAGAAGUGUUCAGCAGUGUUUUGUACUACAGCGAGGAUUCCUUGUAGCCACAAGCACAGCCUGUAGUAUCCAGAUUUCCACAUGCCGCAUGGGACUCAGCACGAUGGCAUUUUCUAGAAAAUGGACAAUAUUGGUCCAAAUAAGAGUUGCAAACAAACCAAUAAGCAAAUGGGGAGCUGUUGGCCUAAGUAGCAAAGAAGGAGCUUGGGUAAUUUGAGUCUAUUUUGAUCAUGUGUUUGAAAUGAGUUUAGGAAGUAUUUGUGUUAAGUCCCUACUCAUCGAAUGGCCUAUAUAACCAGGAUUCUCACACACCUCCUGAAGCUUAAGCCACAGUUUCUCUAGAUCUGCAUGCCAUAUUCAGAAAGCUUGUAUCUCUCAAGCCACUAAGCGCCAUGUUGUAACCUCAGAGCCACACUCACAGUUUUCAGUGUAACAGCAGAGGGAGAUUAAAACCUCCACCUACAUGUCAUGGAAGACAAUAAAAAUGAAGUGAAAUUGAAAAAAAAAGAUGCACAGCACUGUAGGGUCUAAUCUGUCCAAUUUUAUAAGGCAAACUUAACUGCAAAUUAUUAAUUUAUGUUGAACCUUUAGAAAAACUGAGGUACUAUGGCAACCAUAUAACUGAAAAUUUUAGAAUACUCAGGGUCAUUUGGAGAGUCAUAAGACAUGAACAUAUGCUAAUUUGAGGCAGAUCCUGCCUAUAUCUAUAUGGGAAGAACAGAAAAGAAAAAAAAUAAAAGUUUCAUUUUAGGGCUGCACCUGGGGGAGAUAACAAAUCAAAGGAGCAUCCCUGGCCUCUAAAAGGAAGGCAAUCAUACUCAUUAGACCAAAUCUACAGCGGCAAUAACAUUUUCUAAAGCCUUGCUCCAAGACUCAGAGAUAAAAUACCUUUCUAAGAAUGUGGCUGAACACAUCAUCAGAUAAUGCUACUAUUCCCUGGUCUUUACCACAGUGUGAUACGUAUCACAUUAAAACAAUAGAAUAGAGCUGGAGAGAUGCAAGAGAUAUAGUCUCUCUGUGGUAAAAUGAAAACAGGCAACAUUCAGAAAUUAACCCUAAGCAAACAACCCAUACUCUAAAGAGUAGAUAUUGACACAACAAUUGAAAAUCUGUGGCUGGCAAAGGGUAACUGUAGGAACAGCAAGUACAAGUACAACAACAACAAGAAGAACAACAACAUCCUCACACCAUGACAAGAUUAACACAGACUUAUGCUAACAGCUUAGAACAAAAUUCAUGCUCAUUUCCAAAUGUAAAAAUAUAUACCUUGGUAGUUAUUGCUCUUAUACAUGUGACUAGAUGCCAGCCUAGAAAGGAAGCCUGACAUGAUAUCAAAAUUGGCAUAAAUAAAUACCCUCUCAAGACACAAAACCAUCACCGGUACCAGAUUCAGAUGUGGUUCACAUGAUAAAAAAAGAAAUGUAAAGUUUUUAUAAUUAUAUGUAAUGAAAACAGAAAACAUUCCCAAAGAAAGAUACUAAUAAAGAGAAAUAAUAAAAAUAAUAAAAUGGAAAUGUUAAGAAAACAAAAACCACAGAAGAAAUAAGCACAGUUUUUGUCAAUAACCUUGACUGGGAUGUUAAACUGGAGUAAUAGAGGAAAACAGAGAAUAUAGUAGAUCAAAUACUUGUAGAAAUCACUUAUACCACAAGUAGUGGCACAUACGUAUUUGUACUUGUAACAUUUGGAAUGCCAAGUCAAAAGAUAGUGAGUUCAUGUUGUGCAUUUAAGUUGUGAAUUUAAGGCAAAUUUGGGCUACGUAUGACUACCAGGCCAGCCUGGAGUACAAAGCCAUCUCCUGCAUCUUAAGUCACUUUCCAAAAGGAAAGAAACAACCCUCUAUAAGUUUCAAAGACUACUGAUUGUUAGAAUAUAAUAGAUUCAAGAAGCUUAUAAAAUACCAGAACAGGAUGAACAAUACAAGAGACCGGCAUGUAUAGUAGUCUGAUGUUUUAAAAUAGUCAACUGCUUCCUCUAAAUAAUAUGAUCUCACUUCACAUUAGGGGAAAAUAGCACAUUUACUAACCCCAAAUGUCUUUCCAAAAAGAAUUAUCAAAUGAAAAUCUGCUAUUAUUUACACAUCGAAGCUUUAUUCAUGCAUAAAAAAGAAUGGAUAGGGCUGCUGGUGGUCAUCAAAAGAAAUAAGUCAGUCUCGGUUUCUUUCUUCACAGUCAGAGUUUCUUCAUUUAUAGAAUGUAAAUUAAAACACGCAGAGACUGGCAGAGCCUCUCAGGGGACAUCCAUAUCAGGCUCCUGUCAGCAAGCACUU
rnacentral:sRNA from 1 species